rnacentral:lncRNA from 1 species
UGCUGCUGGCUUUUCUGUAAACAUGGGGCUGGCUACUACAUUUAUAUUUUAUAUUUUUUCUGUCAGAACCCAGACAAGGGUGGCAUGAAGGUGACAACCUGGAAAAAAGACAGUAUCGAACUUUUGGAGAAAGUGCUGUGGCAGGAAAGCGAUUGCUCCAGGCUAGUUUUGGCAGAAGAGCUUGUUCCUCAAAAGAAGCAAGGGAUGGAACAAAUUCAGAAGCAGGACACAGUGAAAUUUUCUGGCUGAGUAGGCAACCAAGUCUGCAAGACUCAAGUCUCAAAACAUCACUCUAUUAUUCUCUAAGAAGAAGCAAGACCAAGGCUGCCAAAUGGAACAGCUCAAGCUGAGCUCUUUAGCCCCACAUCUGCAAAGAUAGGCAACUUUUUUUGUCCUUACAGAAACUAUGGCGAUGGUGACAGAGAAAUUUCAAGUUUUACAUAAGGACAAUGGGGCAAGGAGUCCAAAACCAUUGAGAAGAAGAGACCAGUUUACUUUUAAAGCAAAUGCACCCUGAAUAGCUCUGCAGAUCUUCAUCUAGACUCACAUUGGCACUGAGAAAAGACAGUGUGUAUUUUCAGAGGCAGCAUUCUGGAAGUGCAAGGUAGAGAUCAAGAAGUAUGUGAAGGGAUUUUUGGAUUACCUUUGUGCUUCUAAAUAAAUGAGGGUCACACGGAUCA